rnacentral:rRNA from 1 species
AAUGAACGCUGGCGGCGUGGAUUAGGCAUGCAAGUCGAACGAGAUUCUUAUGUAUCGUAAGAUAUGUAAGCGUCUAGUGGCAAAAGGGUGAGGAACACGUAGGUAAUUUGCCCUCGAAACUGGGAUAACAUUCCGAAAGGGAUGCUAAUACCGGAUAAGCUCACGAGUUCAUAGGAACUAGUGAGAAAAGGUGGGGACUCUUCGGAGCCUGCCAUUCGAGGAUAAGCCUGCGGCCUAUUAGUUUGUUGGUGAGGUAACGGCUCACCAAGGCUAUGAUGGGUAGCGGAGCUGAGAGGCUGACCCGCCACAUCGGGACUGAGACACUGCCCGA